GGCCGGCUGGCGCAAUGGUAGCGCAUCAGACUUCUAUCAUCUCAUUCAUGAGUUGCGGUCAUCUGGGGGUUGUGGGUUCGAGCCCCACGUUGGUCA
rfam:Colletotrichum salicis strain CBS 607.94 Scaffold_661.1, whole genome shotgun sequence.